GCAUUAAUGGGGUAGUGGUAACCUGGGUCGUUGCCAUUUGAGCAUUAGCUCGACCCGCCGGGGGUUCGAUUCCCUCUUAAUGCA
rnacentral:tRNA from 1 species